rnacentral:rRNA from 1 species
CCUACGGGAGGCAGCAGUGGGGAAUCUUCCGCAAUGGGCGAAAGCCUGACGCAGCGACGCCGCGUGAGGGAUGAAGGUCUUCGGAUCGUAAACCUCUGUCAGCAGGGAAGAACGGUCACUGUGCUAAUCAGCAGUGAAUUGACGGUACCUGCACAGGAAGCACCGGCUAACUCCGUGCCAGCAGCCGCGGUAAUACGGAGGGUGCGAGCGUUAUUCGGAAUUACUGGGCGUAAAGCGCUCGCAGGCGGUAUGUCAAGUCAAGUGUGAAAUCCCCGGGCUCAACGUGGGAGGGGCCUUUGAAACUGGCAAACUGGAGUGUGGAAGAGGAGAGUGGAAUUCCAGGUGUAGGAGUGAAAUCCGUAGAUAGAUGGAGGAACAUCAGUGGCGAAGGCGACUAUCUGGCACAUAACUGACGCUGAGGAGCGAAAGCGUGGGUAGCAAACAGGAUUAGAUACCCGAGUAGUC